rnacentral:sRNA from 1 species
GAAAUAUUUUGAAAGUUUUAUUUUAGUAACCAAUCGUGUAGUUAAUGUAGAGAGAUUUUAGGAAGAUUGUUAAAUGUCAAAUAUUUAAUUCGAAGAUUUUUUUUCUAAUUAUCAAAAACAAAUAUUAAAAUUUAGUGGCAACCAUUGUAAAUAAGUUCCAACUACAUGAUUUAUUUCACAAAAUAAUU